rnacentral:rRNA from 1 species
AGAGUUUGAUCCUGGCUCAGGAUAAACGCUGGCGGUGUACAUAAGACAUGCAAGUCGAACGGGAGAAGACUGGAAGAUUUAUCUACUGGUUGGACACCGUGGCGGACGGGUGAGUAACACGUAAGCAACCUGCCUAUAAGAGGGGAAUAACAGUGAGAAAUUACUGAUAAUACCGCAUAAGCUGGAGGUAUCGCAUGAUACAUUCAGAAAAGAUUUAUCGCUUAUAGAUGGGCUUGCGUCUGAUUAGCUAGUUGGUGAGAUAACAGCUCACCAAGGCGACGAUCAGUAGCCGGAUUGAGAGGUUGAACGGCCACAUUGGGACUGAGACACGGCCCAGACUCCUACGGGAGGCAGCAGUCGGGAAUAUUGCACAAUGGAGGAAACUCUGAUGCAGUGACACCGCGUAUAGGAAGAAGGUCUUAGGAUUGUAAGCUAUUGUCGUGUGAGAAGAAAAUGACCAUCACAGGAGGAAGCCCUGGCUAAAUAUGUGCCAGCAGCCGCGGUAAUACAUAUGGGGCGAGCGUUAUCCGGAUUUAUUGGGUGUAAAGGGUGCGUAGGCGGGAAAAUAAGUCAGUAUGUGAAAUCCCUCGGCUCAACUGAGGAACUGCAACUGAAACUAUUUUUCUUGAGUGUUGAAGGGGAAAGUGGAAUUCCUAGUGUAGCGGUGAAAUGCGUAGAGAUUAGGAGGAACACCAGUGGCGAAGGCGACUUUCUGGGCAACAACUGACGCUGAGGCACGAAAGUGUGGGGAGCAAACAGGAUUAGAUACCCUGGUAGUCCACACCGUAAACGAUGGAUACUAGGUGUUGGCAAUGAAUAAUUGUCGGUGCCGGCGCUAACGCAAUAAGUAUCCCACCUGGGGAGUACGACCGCAAGGUUGAAACUCAAAGGAAUUGACGGGGGCCCG